rnacentral:rRNA from 1 species
UACGUAGGGUGCGAGCGUUAAUCGGAAUUACUGGGCGUAAAGCGUGCGCAGGCGGUCCUUUAAGUCUGAUGUGAAAGCCCACGGCUCAACCGUGGAGGGUCAUUGGAAACUGGUCGACUUGAGUGCAGAAGAGGGAAGUGGAAUUCCAUGUGUAGCGGUGAAAUGCGUAGAGAUAUGGAGGAACACCAGUGGCGAAGGCGGCUUCCUGGUCUGUAACUGACACUGAGGCGCGAAAGCGUGGGGAGCAAACAGGAUUAGAUA